rnacentral:lncRNA from 8 species
AUGAUGUUGUUUUCUGUUGAUUCAUGUUGUAUCAUGUUGUAUUGUAUCAUGUUGUAUUGCAUUGUAUCAUGUUGUAUUGUAUCAUGUUGUAUUGUGUUGUAUUGUAUCAUGUUGUAUUGCAUUGUAUCAUGUUGUAUUGUGUUGUAUUGCAUCAUGUUGUAUCAUGUUGUAUUGAAUUGUAUCAUGUUGUAUUGCAUUGUAUCAUGUUGUAUUGUGUUGUAUUGUAUCAUGUUGUAUUGUAUCAUGUUGUAUCAUGUUGUAUUGUAUCAUGUUGUAUCAUGUUGUAUCAUGGUGUAUUGUAUUGUAUUGUAUCAUGUUGUUUUUUGUUGUUUCAUGUUGUAUCAAGUUGUAUUGCAUUGUAUCAAGUUGUAUUGUGUUGUAUUGUAUCAUGUUGUAUUGCAUUGUAUCAAGUUGUAUUGCAUUGUAUCAUGUUGUAUUGUGUUGUAUUGUAUCAUGUUGUAUCAUGUUGUAUCAUGUUGUAUUGCAUUGUAUCAUGUUGUAUUGUAUCAUGUUGUAUUGCAUUGUAUCAUGUUGUAUUGCAUUGUAUCAAGUUGUAUUGCAUUGUAUCAUGUUGUAUUGUAUCAUGUUGUGUCAUGUUGUAUCAUGUUGUAUUGUAUCAUGUUGAAUUGUAUCAUGUUGUAUCAUGUUGUGUUGUAUCAUGUUGUAUUGUAUCAUGUUGUAUUGUAUCAUGUUGUAUCAUGUUGUAUCAUGUUGUAUCAGGUUGUAUUGUAUCAUGUUGUAUCAUGUUGUGUUGUAUCAUGUUGUAUUGUAUCAUGUUGUAUCAUGUUGUAUCAUGUUGUAUUGUAUCAUGUUGUAUCAUGUUGUGUUGUAUCAUGUUGUAUUGUAUCAUGUUGUAUUGUAUCAUGUUGUAUCAUGUUGUAUCAUGUUGUAUCAGGUUGUAUUGUAUCAUGUUGUAUCAUGUUGUGUUGUAUCAUGUUGUAUUGUAUCAUGUUGUAUCAUGUUGUAUCAUGUUGUAUUGUAUCAUGUUGUAUCAUGUUGUGUUGUAUCAUGUUGUAUUGUAUCAUGUUGUAUUGUAUCAUGUUGUAUCAUGUUGUAUCAUGUUGUAUCAGGUUGUAUUGUAUCAUGUUGUAUCAUGUUGUGUUGUAUCAUGUUGUAUUGUAUCAUGUUGUAUCAUGUUGUAUCAUGUUGUAUUGUGUUGUAUCAUGUUGUAUUGUAUCAUGUUGUAUUGUGUUGUAUUGUAUCAUGUUGUAUCGUGUUGUAUUGUAUCAUGUUGUAUCAUGUUGUAUCAUGUUGUAUUGUAUCAUGUUGUAUCAUGUUGUAUUGUAUCAUGUUGUAUCAUGUUGUAUUAUAUCAUGUUGUAUUGUAUCAUGUUGUAUCAUGUUGUAUUGUAUCAUGUUGUAUUGUAUCAUGUUGUAUCUGGGGCAGCAGGGAAUCCUAGUGGUUAGAGCGUUGGAUUAG